GACGAACGCUGGCGGCGUGCUUAACACAUGCAAGUCGAACGGAAAGGCCCUGCUUUUGUGGGGUGCUCGAGUGGCGAACGGGUGAGUAACACGUGAGUAACCUGCCCUUGACUUGGGGAUAACUUCAGGAAACUGGGGCUAAUAACGGAUAGGAGCUCCUGCGGCAUGGUGGGGGUUGGAAAGUUUCGGCGGUUGGGGAUGGGCUCGCGGCUUAUCAGCGUGUUGGUGGGGUAGUGGCUUACCAAGGCGUUGACGGGUAGCCGGCCUGGGAGGGUGACCGGCCACAUUGGGACUGAGAUACGGCCCAGACUCCUACUGGGGGCAGCAGUGGGGAAUAUUGCACAAUGGGCGGAAGCCUGAUGCAGCAGCGCCGCGUGCGGGAUGACGGCCUUCGGGUUGUAAACCGCUUUCGCCUGUGACGAAGCGUGAGUGACGGUAAUGGGUAAAGAAGCACCGGCUAACUACGUG
rnacentral:rRNA from 1 species